rnacentral:rRNA from 1 species
AGAAUGAGCGCUAGCGAUAUGCUUAACACAUGCAAGUUGAACGUUGUUUUCGAAUCAGAAUGAGAACAAAGUAGCGAACGGGUGCGUAACACGUGGGAAUCUGCCGAACAGUUUGGGCCAAAUCCCGAAUGAAUAAAAGCUAAAAAGCGCUGUUUGAUGAGCCCACGUAGUAUUAGGUAGUUGGUUAGGUAAAAGCUGACCAAGCCUACGAUGCUUAGCUGGUCUUUUCGGAUGAUCAGCCACACUGGGACUGAGACACGGCCCAGACUCCUACGGGAGGCAGCAGUGGGGAAUCUUGGACAAUGGGCGAAAGCCUGAUCCGGCAAUAUGGCGUGAGUGAAGAAGGGCAACGCAGCUUGUAAAGCUCUUUCAUUGAGUGUGCGAUUGUGACAAGACUCGAAUAAGAACGCCCCGGCUAACUCCGCGCCAGCAGCCGC